CUCCAUUAAGCCUCGGCACUAAGGUGCUCUGUGCCUGCCCCGAAGGGCUUACAGUGAAGGGAGAAGAGAACAGAGACCACCAGCAGAUGACAAGAUCAGGGCAGAGCCAGGGACCACCAGCAGGGUGACUGCACACGCCCUCCCUCGGGAACCAUGGACGGCCUCCCAUUGGCACCAGGGUGGUCAGAGUCUGCCCCACGAGUAUCAGGACCAGGGUCUCUGAGAUGGCUUGGAUAUCGGAGACGUCUUAAUCUUAAAUUAUUUCCACAAUCGAGUACAUCUAAGAAAGAGCUGUCCCCUUUAGUUUCCUCACCGUAACCUUGAGGCACUUACAGCGUUCUGUCUUGGCUUAUGUACACGAGCAUCCAGGCGUUCGAGUCCCGUCAGUCUUGUGGCCUCCUGGUUCAAUCUAACAGACGCACCACAGUGCUGGAGGGCUCACUUCAAUUCCUUCAUGAUCUCCAUCUGAAUGUUGACAAGAAACUGAAGUUUAUUUCUUGGCUCCACCAUCACCAGGGACCCAGACUUCUCUAAGUCCAGCAUGCCGGUGCUUGGCCUCUAUUCUCAACGUGGCCAUCAAGUGCAGCAUGACUGCUGCAGCCCCACCCAUCACAUUCACAUUCCAGGCAGCAGGGAGGACUGGCACAAGGGUGCACCCAAAAUGGUGCAUUUAAGAGCUCCUUUUGGAGUGUCACACAGCUGAGGCCUUUAUCUUACUGUGUACAUGACCACAUUUUCAUCCAUGGCCGCCGGGAAGUAGUCUGUUAGCUGGGCCCACUGUUGCCCUGAAUCAAAUGGUGGUCACUAAGAGAGAACACAGGUUCUGGGGACCUGGACAUGGAUAUAACUUUUUCAGGGCAACCAUUCAACCCACUAACUGGCCCAGUUAAAAAAUGACCAUGUGUAGGAAGGCCUUGACUCCCACACCAGGGACUAUUUAUUCCCCUCUUCUCCUACCCCCAUGGCUCUGUCCAUUCCCCCAUACUGGUCCCAUUCUCCAUAAUAGCAGCAGCCAGACCCUCUUUCUCCACCAGGUCUGAGCUCACUCAUGGCUCCAACUUUCAUUUGCUUGGGACGAUGUUGUGGGUGGAGAAAGCACUCAGUAGAUGUUUGCUGAAUUAAAUAAAAUCACUGCACUGCUGUGAAAUUUUAUUCCUAUGA